UACGUAGGGGGCAAGCGUUGUCCGGAAUCAUUGGGCGUAAAGCGCGUGUAGGCGGCUUGGUAAGUCUGCUCUGAAAGCCCGGGGCUCAACCCCGGGAGGCGGGUGGAUACUGUCAAGCUCGAGUCCGGAAGAGGAGUGUGGAAUUCCUGGUGUAGCGGUGAAAUGCGCAGAUAUCAGGAGGAACACCUGAGGUGAAGACGGGUUGCUGGGCCGACACUGACGCUGAGUGCGCGAAAGCCAGGGGAGCAAACGGG
rnacentral:rRNA from 1 species